rnacentral:rRNA from 1 species
GGACGAGGAACCACGGUUCCGAAGUGAUUGAUACCAAGCUUCCAGGAAAAGCCACUAAGCUUCAGUCUAGAGUUGACCGUACCGCAAACCGACACAGGUGGGCAGGAUGAAAAUUCUAAGGCGCUUGAGAGAACUCAGGAGAAGGAACUCGGCAAAUUAACACCGUAACUUCGGGAGAAGGUGUGCCCCGGUAGCGUGUAGAGACUUGCUCUCGAAGCGCGAUGGGGUUGCAGUGAAAUGGUGGCUGCGACUGUUUAAUAAAAACACAGCACUCUGCAAACACGAAAGUGGACGUAUAGGGUGUGACGCCUGCCCGGUGCCGGAAGGUUAAGUGAUGGGGUGCAAGCUCUUGAUCGAAGCCCCGGUAAACGGCGGCCGUAACUAUAACGGUCCUAAGGUAGCGAAAUUCCUUGUCGGGUAAGUUCCGACCUGCACGAAUGGCGUAACGAUGGCCACACUGUCUCCUCCUGGGACUCAGCGAAGUUGAAAUGUUUGUGAAGAUGCAAUCUACCCGCGGCUAGACGGAAAGACCCCAUGAACCUUUACUGUAGCUUUGCAUUGGACUUUGAACCGGUUUGUGUAGGAUAGGUGGGAGACUGUGAAGCCGGGACGCUAGUUUCGGUGGAGUCAACCUUGAAAUACCACCCUGAUUUGUUUGAGGUUCUAACCUUGGUCCGUGAAUCCGGAUCGGGGACCGUGCAUGGUAGGCAGUUUGACUGGGGCGGUCUCCUCCCAAAAGGUAACGGAGGAGUACGAAGGUACGCUUAGGGCGGUCGGACAUCGCCCACAAAGUGCAAUGGCAAAAGCGUGCUUGACUGCGAGACCCACAAGUCGAGCAGGUACGAAAGUAGGUCAUAGUGAUCCGGUGGUUCUGUAUGGAAGGGCCAUCGCUCAACGGAUAAAAGGUACUCUGGGGAUAACAGGCUAAUUCCUCCCAAGAGUUCAUAUCGACGGGGGAGUUUGGCACCUCGAUGUCGGCUCAUCACAUCCUGGGGCUGUAGUCGGUCCCAAGGGUAUGGCUGUUCGCCAUUUAAAGUGGUACGCGAGCUGGGUUUAAAACGUCGUGAGACAGUUUGGUCCCUAUCUGCCGUGGGCGCUGGAAAUUUGAAGGGGGCUGCUCCUAGUACGAGAGGACCGGAGUGGACGAACCUCUGGUGUACCGGUUAUGACGCCAGUCGUAUCGCCGGGUAGCUAAGUUCGGAAGAGAUAAACGCUGAAAGCAUCUAAGCGUGAAACUCGCCUUAA